rnacentral:rRNA from 1 species
UGGGGAAUCUUCCGCAAUGGACGAAAGUCUGACGGAGCAACGCCGCGUGAGUGAAGACGGCCUUCGGGUUGUAAAGCUCUGUGAUCCGGGACGAAAGAGCCUGAGGUAAAUAGCCUAAGGAAGUGACGGUACCGGAAAAGCAAGCCACGGCUAACUACGUGCCAGCAGCCGCGGUAAUACGUAGGUGGCAAGCGUUGUCCGGAAUUAUUGGGCGUAAAGCGCGCGCAGGCGGCUUACUAAGUCCAUCUUAAAAGUGCGGGGCUUAACCCCGUGAUGGGAUGGAAACUGGAAAGCUGGAGUAUCGGAGAGGAAAGUGGAAUUCCUAGUGUAGCGGUGAAAUGCGUAGAGAUUAGGAAGAACACCGGUGGCGAAGGCGACUUUCUGGACGAAAACUGACGCUGAGGCGCGAAAGCGUGGGUAGCAAACAGG